rnacentral:rRNA from 1 species
UACGGAGGGUGCAAGCGUUAUCCGGAUUCACUGGGUUUAAAGGGUGCGUAGGAGGGCAGGUAAGUCAGUGGUGAAAUCUUUGGGCUUAACCCGAAAACUGCCAUUGAUACUAUCUGUCUUGAAUCCCCGUGGAGGUGAGCGGAAUAUGUCAUGUAGCGGUGAAAUGCUUAGAUAUGACAUAGAACACCAAUUGCGAAGGCAGCUCGCUACACGAAGAUUGGACUCUGAGGCACGAAAGCGUGGGGAUCAAACAGG